rnacentral:rRNA from 1 species
GUGGGGAAUAUUGGGCAAUGGGCGCAAGCCUGACCCAGCAACGCCGCGUGAGUGAUGAAGGUCUUCGGAUUGUAAAGCUCUGUUAAUCGGGACGAAAGAGCCUAGUGUGAAUAAUGCUAGGAAGUGACGGUACCGGAAUAGAAAGCCACGGCUAACUACGUGCCAGCAGCCGCGGUAAUACGGAGGGUGCAAGCGUUAUCCGGAUUCACUGGGCUUAAAGGGUGCGUAGGUGGGUUGGUAAGUCAGAGGUGAAAUCUCCGGGCUCAACUCGGAAACUGCCUUUGAUACUAUCAAUCUUGAGUAUUGUGGAGGUUAGCGGAAUAUGUCAUGUAGCGGUGAAAUGCUUAGAUAUGACAUAGAACACCAAUUGCGAAGGCAGCUGGCUACACAUAUAUUGACACUGAGGCACGAAAGCGUGGGGAUCAAACAGGAUUAGAAACCCCAGUAGUCC